CUUCGGGUUGUAAACCUCUUUCAGUAGGGAAGAAGCGAAAGUGACGGUACCUACAGAAGAAGCACCGGCUAACUAUGUGCCAGCAGCCGCGGUAAUACAUAGGGUGCAAGCGUUGUCCGGAAUUAUUGGGCGUAAAGAGCUCGUAGGUGGUUCGAUACGUCGGAUGUGAAAAUCAGGGGCUCAACCCCUGACCUGCAUUCGAUACGGUCGAGCUAGAGUUUGGUAGGGGAGACUGGAAUUCCUGGUGUAGCGGUGGAAUGCGCAGAUAUCAGGAGGAACACCGAUGGCGAAGGCAGGUCUCUGGGCCAAUACUGACACUGAGGAGCGAAAGCGUGGGGAGCGAACAGGAUUAGAUACCCUGGUAGUCCACGCCGUAAACGGUGGGCGCUAGUUGUGCGAACCUUCCACGGUUUGUGCGACGCAGCUAACGCAUUAAGCGCCCCGCCUGGGGAGUACGAUCGCAAGAUUAAAACUCAAAGGAAUUGACGGGGCCCCGCACAAGCAGCGGAGCAUGCGGCUUAAUUCGACGCAACGCGAAGAACCUUACCAAGGCUUGACAUAUACAGGAAUACGGCAGAGAUGUCGUAGCCGCAAGGUCUGUAUACAGGUGGUGCAUGGUUGUCGUCAGCUCGUGUCGUGAGAUGUUGGGUUAAGUCCCGCAACGAGCGCAACCCUCGUUCUGUGUUGCCAGCAUUUAGUUGGGGACUCACAGGAGACUGCCGGGGUUAACUCGGAGGAAGGUGGGGAUGACGUCAAAUCAUCAUGCCCCUUAUGUCUUGGGCUGCACGCAUGCUACAAUGGCUGGUACAAACGGCUGCAAUACCGCAAGGUGGAGCGAAUCCGAUAAAGCCAGUCUCAGUUCGGAUUGGGGUCUGCAACUCGACCCCAUGAAGUCGGAGUUGCUAGUAAUCGUAGAUCAGCAACGCUACGGUGAAUACGUUCCCGGGGCUUGUACACACCGCCCGUCACGUCACGAAAGUCGGUAACACCCAAAGUCAGUGGCCCAACCGCAAGGAGGGAGCUGCCAAAGGUGGGAUCGGUGAUUGGGACGAAGUCGUAACAAGGUAGCCGUACCGGAAGGUGCGGCUG
rnacentral:rRNA from 1 species